rnacentral:rRNA from 1 species
UGGGAAUGUGCCCUUUGGUUCGGAACAACUCCGGGAAACUGGAGCUAAUACCGGAUAUGCCCUUCGGGGAAAGAUUUAUCGCCAAAGGAUCGGCCCGCGUCUGAUUAGCUUGUUGGUGAGGUAAUGGCUCACCAAGGCGACGAUCAGUAGCUGGUCUGAGAGGAUGAUCAGCCACACUGGGGACUGAGACACGGCCCAGACUCCUACGGGAGGCAG